rnacentral:rRNA from 1 species
GAUGAACGCUGGCGGCGUGCCUAAUACAUGCAAGUCGAGCGAACAGAUGAGGAGCUUGCUCCUCUGACGUUAGCGGCGGACGGGUGAGUAACACGUGGAUAACCUACCUAUAAGACUGGGAUAACUUCGGGAAACCGGAGCUAAUACCGGAUAAUAUAUUGAACCGCAUGGUUCAAUAGUGAAAGACGGUUUUGCUGUCACUUAUAGAUGGAUCCGCGCCGCAUUAGCUAGUUGGUAAGGUAACGGCUUACCAAGGCAACGAUGCGUAGCCGACCUGAGAGGGGGAGCGGCACAAUGGGAACUGAGAAACGGUCCAGACCCCUCGGGGGGGCAGGAGGGGGGAAUCUUCCGAAAUGGGCGAAAGCCUGAGGGAGCACCGCCGGGGGGGGGAUGAAGGUUUUCGGAUCGUAAAACCUUUUUAUUAGGGAAGAAAAAAUUUGAAAGUAACUAUGCACGUUUUGACGGUACCUAACCAAAAAGCCGCGGCUAACUACGU